rnacentral:lncRNA from 8 species
GUUGUACCCACUGUGACUAUUAAAACAUUCCCUAACCAGAAACCGUGGCUUGAUGGCAGGAUUCGCGCAAAACUGAAAGUGCAAACCACCACUUUUAGUCAUGGCAAGGCGACUGGAAACAUGACCGAAUACAAACAGUGUAGUUAUUCCCUCCGCAAGGCAACCAAACAAGCAAAGCGUCACUAUAGAGACAAAGUAGAGUUGCAAUUCAAUGGCUCAAACACGAGACGUAUGUGGCAGGGUCUACAGACAAUCACAGAUUACAAAAAGAAAACCAGCCUCGUUGUGAACAUUGACACCUUGCUCCCAGACAAAUUAAACAACUUCUUUGCUCACUUUGAGGACAAUACAGUGACACGGCCCGCUACCAAAGCCUGUGGGCACUCCUUCUCCGUGGCCAACGUGAGUAAAACAUUUAAACAUGUUAACCCUCGCAAGGCUGCCGGCCCAGACGGCAUCCCUAGCCACAUCCUCAGAGCAUGCGCAGACCAGCUGGCUGGUGUGUUUACAGACAUAUUCAAUCAAUCCCUAUCCCAGUCUGUUGUCCCCGCAUGCUUCAAGAUGGCCACCAUUAUUCCUAUUCCCAAGAAAGCUAAAGUAACUGAACUAAAUGACUAUCGCCCCGUAGCACUCACUUCUGUCAUCAUGAUGUGCUUUGAGAGACUAGUUAAGGAUCAUAUCACCUCCACCCUACCUGAUACCCUAGACCCACUCCAAUUUGCUUACCACCUCAAUAGGUCCACAGACGAUGCAAUCGCCAUCACAGUGCACACUGACCUAUCCCAUCUGGACAAGAGGAAUACUUAUGUAAGAAUGCUCUUCAUUGACUACAGCUCAGCAUUCAACACCAUAGAACCCUCCAAAUUCAUCAUUAAGCUCGAGACCCUGGGUCUCGACCCCGCCCUGUGCAACUGGGUCCUGGACUUUCUGAUGGGCCGCCCCCAGGUGGUGAAGGUAGGAAACAACAUCUCAACUCCACUGAUCCUCAACACUGGGGCCCCACAAGAAUGCCUUCCCAGCCCUCUCCUGUACUCCCUGU